GACGAACGCUGGCGGCGUGCUUAACACAUGCAAGUCGAACGAAGUGGCGAACGGGUGAGUAACGCGUAAUCAACCUGCCCUUCAGAGGGGGACAACAGUUGGAAACGACUGCUAAUACCGCAUACUGAAGGAGGGGAUUGCGUCUGAUUAGCUAGUUGGAGAGGUAACGGCUCACCAAGGCGAUGAUGGGUAGCCGGCCUGAGAGUGAUCGGCCACAAGGGGACUGAGACACGGCCCUUACUCCUACGGGAGGCAGCAGUGGGGAAUAUUGGACAAUGGACCAAAGUCUGAUCCAGCAAUUCUGUGUGCACGAUGAAGUUUUUCGGAAUGUAAAGUGCUUUCAGUUGGGAAGCGGUACCAACAGAAGAAGUGACGGCUAAAUACGUGCCAGCAGCCGCGGUAAUUC
rnacentral:rRNA from 1 species